UUGAAAUUACAAACCAUCUUGAGGUAUUGAUGUUCAUUUUGUCACGUGGCCGGCAGCACCAGAAGUGGAUCAGACCUCCAAAACGUCAGGAGAGGAGCUGAUGGAGUGACUGCAGCAGUGCCAUAAAAAGCGCCAUGAUGUCAACCUGAUGCUCCACACUGUCACUCAAGCUUGGCAAGGAGUCUGUGACGUAUGAAAAUUAGAUUUUCUUCAUCAAGAAGUUGCGUGCUCCAGCUGACUCAAGCAAUGAUUUUGACAGGGUGACAAUGCAGUGUACAUAUCCUCUGGCUGGACUAAUCUCAGUAUUCAGGUAUGAGUCUGACUCAGCUGGUGUCGGCCGUAUUGUGCAUUCUGCACACUCCACUGAAGGGUAACGGUGGAGUGGGAUGCUGAUCGCAGGGACUUUGCAGACCUGAGAGGAGGUGGAAGUCUCUUUGCCGCCAGCUGUGAGGCUUAUGGACCCUGGGCUUGUAAGAG